ACCUCCUGGACGGUCGGGGACAAGCGCCAAAGUGCAGAGAUUCUCGGGGAGUCGUGGAGGGCUUUGGAGAAGGCAUUGGUGUUGCAUGCUCCAGUGGGUUAUUUUUUUUCCCCCCCUUGGGCCACAACAACCGGGCAGCUGAUUGUCAAACCUGUGCUGCAGUUUGCCGGCCCCUCCCUAGAGCUCUGAAGGUUCGCUCUCUCUGUUCUGCCUACAUUACCGCAGGAAAAACUAUCUGACAAGCUGCAAGCUUCAGGUAGUAAGACAGAAAAGAGCAUUCCCAGUUACCAACACACAAUUUAUAUACAUACAUUCUUCUUAUUUGUAGCCCCCCUUUAAAAUAGUGCCUUUGAGUCUCCAGCCGCCUAGCUUAAAGAACCCGCACCCAGAAAAUCAGCAUUAUCUGUAAUACUAUGAUUUCAGAGGACCAUGCUUCCUUCUAGUGUAAGAUAGUUCUGUUAAGAAACGUUUUUCGUGGUAUUUUUAUCUUUCAGACUUUAUCAUGAGUAAUAAAAAGAGUACAGGAAAGGGAGAGGAAGAGAAGCACAAGCAACAUUGGGUUUGUUUAGUAUGCUCUUUCAGCAUUUGUGCAAUGUUUGUUAUGUAGCCCAGGCUAAAGAUAAAGACUUGUAAGCAAGUCUUUUAUAUUCUGCAAGUACUAUUCCUUAGCCAUAGUGGGAUAAAAUGACGGGGUCCUGAGCCUUUUACAAUGUUAUUGAAGUAUUUCUGCAGCCUCAAAAGACGAAGUAUUUCUGUUAUGUGGUGACUCUAUUAAUUUUUCUAUCCUGUGAGAAGGCAGUGGUCUCUCUUUUCUAUCCCAUGAGAUAACAUGAAAGAUUGCGGGAUAAUGUUCUGAAAUGCUUUGAGUAUUUUAGAGGAUAGGUAACAUACCUAUCUUAUUUGUCUGUAACAGGCGGAUGAAGUGCUUAAUGGUGGUUUCUAUGCUCAUUAAAAUGCUAUUCAUUGGGUUUGUUGUUUAUUUUCCACUUAUUAUUGUUGCUGGUUUGAGGCAGGACAUAGCCAAGACUGGCCUUGAACUCCUGAUUUUUUUUUUUUUUUCCCCUCAAGACAGGGUUUCUUCUCCGUGUAACAGUCCUGGCUGUAUUGGAACUCACUUUGUAAACCAGACUGGCCUCGAACUCACUGAAUCUGCCUGCCUCUGUCUCCCAAGUACUGGUAUUAAAGGUGUGCCACCACCGCCUGGCCUGAGCCCCUGAUCUUUUGAGUAUCACUUUUCAAGUGGUGGGAUUAGAAGACUGUGCUAUCUAGCCUGUCUUUAAAAAAAAUUAUCUUACACAUUAUCUCUCUGUAUAGUCCAGAAUAUCCUCAGGCUAGAGUCCUUCCUGCCUCUCAGCCUCCAGAAUGCUAGAAUUGCAGGCUUGAACUCCCCAACCUGCUACUUUGGUUUCAUUUUCUAAGUUUUUAAUUGCAUGUACCAUUUAGAUGAGAGUUAAUUAUUACAGACAUUUUAUUUUUAACUCAAAAUUGGGGCUAGAGAUGUAGCUCACUUGGUAGAGUGCUUUCCUAGCAUACAGGAAGCUUGGGUUCAAUUCUCAGCACCCAUAAACCAGGAAUGCUGAUGCACGCUUGUGAUCCCAGCACUUGGGGGUUAGAUACAGGAUUAUCAGUCGUUCAAGGUCAUGCUCAGCUCCAUCCUCAGUGAGUUUGAGACCAUCCUGGACUCUAUUAAA